AGUGAACGCUGGCGGCAGGCCUAAUACAUGCAAGUCGAGCGGGGUUGUCGGAGUGGAGUCCUUCGGGAUGAAGCACCGUCAACCUAGCGGCGGACGGGUGAGUAACGCGUGGGUAACCUGCCCUAAAGCCCGGGAUAACACCGGGAAACUGGUGCUAACACCGGAUACCUUCCGAAGAGGGCAUCCUUUUUGGAAGAAAGGUUAACGCUUUAGGAUGGGCCCGCGUCCCAUUAGCUAGUUGGUGAGGUAACGGCUCACCAAGGCAGUGAUGGGUAGCCGGCCUGAGAGGGUGGACGGCCACACUGGGACUGAGACACGGCCCAGACUCCUACGGGAGGCAGCAGUAGGGAAUAUUGCGCAAUGGGCGAAAGCCUGACGCAGCGACGCCGCGUGGGUGAUGAAGGCCUUCGGGUUGUAAACCUCUGUCAUGGGGAAGAAGUAAGUGACGGUACCCAAGAGGAAGCCCCUGCUAACUACGUG
rnacentral:rRNA from 1 species